GAUGAAGAACGCAGCGAAAUACGAUAAUUAAUGUGAAUUGCAGAAUUCCGUGAAUCAUCGAGUCUUUGAACGCACAUUGCGCCUCAUAGCAUUCCGUGAGGCAUGCCCAUCUCAGCGUUAGAAAAUAUUCUCAAAUUUUAGUUUUGUGCUAAAAUUUGGAUCAUGUCAAGGAAGCUAUUACUAUUAUUGUGAUCGCUCUUUGGAAAUUGAUAGGUCUUUGAGUUGCUACUCAUAGAACGUGAUGAAUCUUUCUUCGUUCUAUUGUAGUUCACUCUGGUAGUCCUAAAACUUGUAUGCCUGUGGCAUAUCUUGUAAUUUGACCUGAGAUUGGGUAGGGAUACCCACUGAACUUAAGCAUAUCAAUAAGCGGAGGA
rnacentral:misc_RNA from 1 species